UCCCCCAGGCAAUGGGCAAAGAGAUACCUUAUUGGUGGUGGUAUUCUUAUGUCAGGCAGAGGUAGAGCAGAUGGCAGUCAUUUGUUUAUCCUAGUUUGUUGACUGGCUUGUUGGCCAUAGCUGUCUUAUCAUUAGCACUCAUAA